rnacentral:lncRNA from 1 species
GUGAAGAGCAUGAACUUGAAGAGUGAAUAAACAGUAAAAAGUUGUUUUCUGGUGCUCAACAAAGGUCCUUGCUCUGCUGGUCUGUGAGAAGUUGAUUGUUACUAUGGCAAAUAUGAAUACUUAAGGAGAAACCAUCCCCUUCAUCAAAACAAGCUUCAAAUAAUGAAAGAAUUUCUAACAAAUCAGGUUGUAGAAAGCCGUGUCUGGAGGAUGAGUGAAGGAUGACCUGUAAUGCUGCAUUUAUGGCCAUGGAGGAUCUGUAUGGCAAUGGCUUUACACAGAGCAAACACCUGCACAGGGGCCUGCAAGCUCUGCUGGGUAGGGAUGGAGGCAGCAUGGGAGGUGCUGAUGGAGGAGGGGGGACAUCUCGCCGGGUUCACCAGCAACUGCUGUGCAAGUUUGAUUUCAUCAGAUGCCACGCAAAAUGGGCAACAGCAGAGGGAGGGAGAAGGAGCACCGAGUGCACGAGUUCACACGGCAAAUUGCAUCUUCCAGCAAACACAGCUGCAGUGGUGCUCUCUCAGCCUCUUUGACCACGUUGGAGGGUUUUAGAGCACUUUGGGUGGAAGCCUGCUGCUGCACACGGCUGUUUUCCACUGUGAGUCUCCGAGCACAGCUGCACAAAACGCUGGGCUGUGGUACCACACUCCUGCACCUUGUGCUGUGCAGGGUGUCCUGCAGUGAUCCCAGCCAGUGAACAGCGAGCUGCUGCAGUUGCACCGUCCUACAGGAGCAUCCCAUGACACUCCCUUCACAGCAGCUCCUGGCUCAGAGAGAAAAUGUGCACUGAAGGGAAUGCUGGGUGGCAUCAGCAUCAGCUGCCUCCUAACAAGCUACAGCUCCCGGGGGAGUUGCUGUGAAGAGGAGAGUGCAUGGAAUUACAGCGUGGUUUUGUCUAGCCAAACUAAUUGGGGAGUGAUUUGUUUCCUCUCUUCUUUCUUAAAAUAAAAAGAUUCCUUAUCACCCCA